GAUAAAAUGCCAAUAUAUGUUUAUAUAAAUAUGUAUUUUUAUUACUUGCAGGAAUUCCCGAAGUGCAGCAGAAAAUAAAAAAAAAAUGAAUAACAUUUGAAUGGUUUUUUUUCCUGGCUCUAAGCUCCGAAGAUGAUCGUCAAUUCAAUUUUAAAAGAAACAGUAAGAUAAAAAGUGGUCAGUUAUGAAAAAAAAAAUGAUGCCUUCCGUAUCCGGGAAAUUGAAUUAUGGAUAUCCCAGGCCGGAAAAUAAUUAUCUUCAAGUAAAUUUUAAUGUGAAUGAUUAAGAGACAACUAAUUUUGGCGAUGCAUUUGCUACAAAGGCAGAUGACCGUGUACAGGAAAUUAAUUGAUGGAUAUCCCAGGCCGUUAAACAAUUAUCUUCAAGUAAAUUUUAAUGUGAAUGAUUAAGAGACAACUAAUUUUGGCGAUGCAUUUGCUACAAAGGCAGAUGACCGUGUACAGGAAAUUAAUUGAUGGAUAUCCCAGGCCGUUAAUCAAUUAUCUUCAAGUAAAUUUUAAUGUGAAUGAUUAAGAGACAACUAAUUUUGGCGAUGCAUUUGCUACAAAGGUUCGAUAAACAUAUUACCUCGAUAUGAAUACAUUUAAAUGCUAGAAAAUAUGAUGAUUUAUCUACGGAUUCCCCAGCAUUUCAACUAUAAAUGAAAAAGCAAUCCACUGAAAUUAAAAUAUUUAUAAUCGCAAAGUAUGGAGUCAGUUUGUUUUCCAAUAUUUACUUAAAUCUAUACGAGAACUCAAAAAUAUUUAAGUUAAAUGUAUUUGUUAAACUUAGUAAUGUGCUGCUUGUUUAAACAGAGAUGUAAAUAGCUAAGAUUAUUUUUGAUUAAUAUACAAAAGCCAAUAGUAAACUAUACAUUUAAACUAAACGAGUUAUAUUAAAUAAAUCUACCAUUUUCUUCAGGCUGAUGACCGUAUACAGAAUGGAUAUUCAAAGCCGUUCAACAAUUAUCUCAAGUAUAUGGCAAUGUGAAGGAUUAAGAGGACGAUUAAUUUUGGCGAGGCAUUUACUUCAAAAUGUAAAACUUAUAGAACCAUUUUUCUUUUCUUGAUUGGGGUAGAUAAAUAGACGUAUGCUUUGAGCUUAAAGCUAAAUCUAGCAAGAAUAUUUACCUCUUCCCGAGAUUGUUUCCCUAACCAAAGGUAAGUUUAUUUAAAAUAUGGUCAACCCGCGAUGUUCGAUCUACCAGGAAGGGAAGUGUUCCUCGAACUACGCAAUAUAAAGAUUUGCUAGUUAAUCUUAUACUAUGUAUCUGAUUUUUAUUUAAUACAUUUAUAGAAACACAUGAUUUAUUUCGGAAAAUUAAAUAAA